ACGUAGGAGACGAGCGUUAUCCGGAUUUACUGGGCGUAAAGCGUGUGCAGGCGGUUCGGCAAGUUGGAUGUGAAAUCUCCCGGCUCAACUGGGAGGGGUCGUUCAAUACUACCGAACUUGAGGGCAUCAGAGGAAGGUGGAAUUCCCGGUGUAGUGGUGAAAUGCGUAGAUAUCGGGAGGAACACCAGUGGCGAAAGCGGCCUUCUGGGAUGUUCCUGACGCUCAGACACGAAAGCUAGGGGAGCGAACGGGA
rnacentral:rRNA from 1 species